ACCGAUCCUCAACCUGUCUAAGUGACUGGGGCGAUCCAAUUAUCCAUAGGAACAUUCCUAAAGCCUCCAUCGUUGACAUUCCUCUAGUUGCCCUCAAACCAUAACUCGACCAACAAGUCAUGAAGUUGAUUAAAUAAUUGGCAAGACAUCCUAAACAUGUUGUAGCACGAGGUUCUAUUUGCAAGUGUUUGCUGAACCCAUUCUAUACCCGAUACAGUGGCUACCCUCCUUGGAGCUUUGUGCAUGAAAGUGUCAUAGUACGUACCGAUCAUGAGUGCCGUCUGCAACAUUUCGUGAUUCCUCUUACGAUUAAUGAUAGCCAAAUUUAGGACAGUUUGAGCCUCAAUUGCAAGCUCCUCAUCAGAAUCA
rnacentral:lncRNA from 1 species